AAGUCGUAACAAGGUUUCCGUAGGUGAACCUGCGGAAGGAUCAUUACAGAGUUCCUGCCCUUUGGGGUAGAUCUCCCACCCUUGUAUAUUUAUAAUUGUUGCCUUGGCAGGCCGUCUCUCGAGCCGCUGGCGAAAGCUAGUGUGUGCCUGCCAGAGGACCAAAACCCUGAAUCAUUGGAUAGUCUGAGUUUACACAUAAUAUUUAAAACUUUCAACAAUGGAUCUCUUGGUUCUGGCAUCGAUGAAGAACGCAGCGAAAUGCGAUAAGUAAUGUGAAUUGCAGAAUUCAGUGAAUCAUCGAAUCUUUGAACGCACAUUGCGCCCCUUGGUAUUCCGGGGGGCAUGCCUGUUCGAGCGUCAUUAACACAACUCAAGCUCUGCUUGGUCUUGGGGCAAGCCGAUCGGUUGCCUUCAAAUCCAGUGGCGGUGCCAUUAGGUUCCGAGCGUAGUACAUCUUUCGCUUUGGGUCCUGGUGGUAGUGGCUAAAAUCUCAUGCCUUGUGCAUUCUAGUUUGACCUCGGAUCAGGUAGGGAUACCUGCUGAACUUAA
rnacentral:rRNA from 1 species